UCUGUACCUGAGGCCUUGGAAACUGCCAAGCAAAGACUCACAGCCUUGGCCAGCCACUCGAAGAGGUACACCAGAGAGAUUGAAGGCACGAGAAGAAACUAGCUGUUCUCUACAGAACGAGCCAAGGUGUACUCUCAGUGGCCAGGGAACCCUGACAUGGUGAUGGCUAACCAACUGAACAUAGUGGUGGUAGACAAACAGAAGAAGACAGUCGUAGUGAUAGAUGUAGCGGUUUCGAUUGACAGCAACAUCAGGAAGAAGGAACACGAGAAGCUCGAGAAAUACCAACGGCUCAGAGAAGAGCUCAAGAAAAUGUGGAGGGUGAAGGUAACAGUGGUCCCAGUGGCUUCAGCAGAUCCCAGAAACAACAUUGGAGAUCUCUGUCCAGAAGAGCGCAGUCUUAGGAACAGCGAGAAGAUACUGCGCAGGACCCUCAAGCCCCUGGGCCUCUGGUAGAGGACCCAAGCUUGAAAGGACAGACCGCCCACAGGGGCGAGAUGGGAAUUUUUUUUUUUUUAUAUUGCUGUGACUGUUUUGUAGUAGUGAUUGUCAAAUUAAGCUUUCUGAAGCAUUGAAGCUUGUUUAAAAGGGUUUAUUAUUCGAGGCUUUUCAAUACAGUCCACUCCUCAGAACUUAAGAUCUGCGGACUCAGUGAUCACUUUUAAAAAACAACUAAAAACACAUCUUUGUAGAAUUGCAUUUUGUUAACUUUUGUCUGUUUUUGUUUUAUACUUUGUGAAGCACUUUGUGAUCUUUUUAUCUAGAAAUGUGUUAUAUAAAUAAAAUUUUACUUACUCUGGUGACAUCUGGUGGCCAAAAAUAUAACAAGCAGCUUGAAUCUACAAAAUAAAACGAACUGCUUCAUUAUGACUGCCGACUCCACAGAGUGGAGUUCACAAUUCAGGCUGAUAUUAGGCCACCAUUGUGUUGCUUUGAACAUGUAUUUUUGGGGGGUUGAAAAAAGAAGUUAUGUUUAUUCGUUAAAUGAAUAGUUUUGAUCAAUAAACUUUCCUUGUUUAAACAUGCGCCAUGGUGGUAU
ensembl:lncRNA